rnacentral:rRNA from 1 species
GGUUAAGCGACUAAGCGUACACGGUGGAUGCCCUGGCAGUCAGAGGCGAUGAAGGACGUGCUAAUCUGCGAUAAGCGUCGGUAAGGUGAUAUGAACCGUUAUAACCGGCGAUUUCCGAAUGGGGAAACCCAGUGUGUUUCGACACACUAUCAUUAACUGAAUCCAUAGGUUAAUGAGGCGAACCGGGGGAACUGAAACAUCUAAGUACCCCGAGGAAAAGAAAUCAACCGAGAUUCCCCCAGUAGCGGCGAGCGAACGGGGAGCAGCCCAGAGCCUGAAUCAGUGUGUGUGUUAGUGGAAGCGUCUGGAAAGGCGCGCGAUACAGGGUGACAGCCCCGUACACAAAAAUGCACAUGCUGUGAGCUCGAUGAGUAGGGCGGGACACGUGGUAUCCUGUCUGAAUAUGGGGGGACCAUCCUCCAAGGCUAAAUACUCCUGACUGACCGAUAGUGAACCAGUACCGUGAGGGAAAGGCGAAAAGAACCCCGGCGAGGGGAGUGAAAAAGAACCUGAAACCGUGUACGUACAAGCAGUGGGAGCACGCUUAGGCGUGUGACUGCGUACCUUUUGUAUAAUGGGUCAGCGACUUAUAUUCUGUAGCAAGGUUAACCGAAUAGGGGAGCCGAAGGGAAACCGAGUCUUAACUGGGCGUUAAGUUGCAGGGUAUAGACCCGAAACCCGGUGAUCUAGCCAUGGGCAGGUUGAAGGUUGGGUAACACUAACUGGAGGACCGAACCGACUAAUGUUGAAAAAUUAGCGGAUGACUUGUGGCUGGGGGUGAAAGGCCAAUCAAACCGGGAGAUAGCUGGUUCUCCCCGAAAGCUAUUUAGGUAGCGCCUCGUGAACUCAUCUCCGGGGGUAGAGCACUGUUUCGGCAAGGGGGUCAUCCCGACUUACCAACCCGAUGCAAACUGCGAAUACCGGAGAAUGUUAUCACGGGAGACACACGGCGGGUGCUAACGUCCGUCGUGAAGAGGGAAACAACCCAGACCGCCAGCUAAGGUCCCAAAGUCAUGGUUAAGUGGGAAACGAUGUGGGAAGGCCCAGACAGCCAGGAUGUUGGCUUAGAAGCAGCCAUCAUUUAAAGAAAGCGUAAUAGCUCACUGGUCGAGUCGGCCUGCGCGGAAGAUGUAACGGGGCUAAACCAUGCACCGAAGCUGCGGCAGCGACACUAUGUGUUGUUGGGUAGGGGAGCGUUCUGUAAGCCUGUGAAGGUGUGCUGUGAGGCAUGCUGGAGGUAUCAGAAGUGCGAAUGCUGACAUAAGUAACGAUAAAGCGGGUGAAAAGCCCGCUCGCCGGAAGACCAAGGGUUCCUGUCCAACGUUAAUCGGGGCAGGGUGAGUCGACCCCUAAGGCGAGGCCGAAAGGCGUAGUCGAUGGGAAACAGGUUAAUAUUCCUGUACUUGGUGUUACUGCGAAGGGGGGACGGAGAAGGCUAUGUUGGCCGGGCGACGGUUGUCCCGGUUUAAGCGUGUAGGCUGGUUUUCCAGGCAAAUCCGGAAAAUCAAGGCUGAGGCGUGAUGACGAGGCACUACGGUGCUGAAGCAACAAAUGCCCUGCUUCCAGGAAAAGCCUCUAAGCAUCAGGUAACAUCAAAUCGUACCCCAAACCGACACAGGUGGUCAGGUAGAGAAUACCAAGGCGCUUGAGAGAACUCGGGUGAAGGAACUAGGCAAAAUGGUGCCGUAACUUCGGGAGAAGGCACGCUGAUAUGUAGGUGAAGCGACUUGCUCGUGGAGCUGAAAUCAGUCGAAGAUACCAGCUGGCUGCAACUGUUUAUUAAAAACACAGCACUGUGCAAACACGAAAGUGGACGUAUACGGUGUGACGCCUGCCCGGUGCCGGAAGGUUAAUUGAUGGGGUUAGCGGUAACGCGAAGCUCUUGAUCGAAGCCCCGGUAAACGGCGGCCGUAACUAUAACGGUCCUAAGGUAGCGAAAUUCCUUGUCGGGUAAGUUCCGACCUGCACGAAUGGCGUAAUGAUGGCCAGGCUGUCUCCACCCGAGACUCAGUGAAAUUGAACUCGCUGUGAAGAUGCAGUGUACCCGCGGCAAGACGGAAAGACCCCGUGAACCUUUACUAUAGCUUGACACUGAACAUUGAGCCUUGAUGUGUAGGAUAGGUGGGAGGCUUUGAAGUGUGGACGCCAGUCUGCAUGGAGCCGACCUUGAAAUACCACCCUUUAAUGUUUGAUGUUCUAACGUUGACCCGUAAUCCGGGUUGCGGACAGUGUCUGGUGGGUAGUUUGACUGGGGCGGUCUCCUCCUAAAGAGUAACGGAGGAGCACGAAGGUUGGCUAAUCCUGGUCGGACAUCAGGAGGUUAGUGCAAUGGCAUAAGCCAGCUUGACUGCGAGCGUGACGGCGCGAGCAGGUGCGAAAGCAGGUCAUAGUGAUCCGGUGGUUCUGAAUGGAAGGGCCAUCGCUCAACGGAUAAAAGGUACUCCGGGGAUAACAGGCUGAUACCGCCCAAGAGUUCAUAUCGACGGCGGUGUUUGGCACCUCGAUGUCGGCUCAUCACAUCCUGGGGCUGAAGUAGGUCCCAAGGGUAUGGCUGUUCGCCAUUUAAAGUGGUACGCGAGCUGGGUUUAGAACGUCGUGAGACAGUUCGGUCCCUAUCUGCCGUGGGCGCUGGAGAACUGAGGGGGGCUGCUCCUAGUACGAGAGGACCGGAGUGGACGCAUCACUGGUGUUCGGGUUGUCAUGCCAAUGGCACUGCCCGGUAGCUAAAUGCGGAAGAGAUAAGUGCUGAAAGCAUCUAAGCACGAAACUUGCCCCGAGAUGAGUUCUCCCUGAC